rnacentral:lncRNA from 1 species
AUGAGAUAAAAAUCAUUAUCAUAUACUUAGACCAAAUAACAUAUAAAUUUUACCGUAUGAUAAUAGCAUUAAAUUGACGUAAAUUCCAUAUUUUUCAAAUUGGUGCUUAGCGGGCUGAUAUGAAAAGUUUAUCACAUGCUUCGAUUGUUAUCACAUGCCUUUCCGUAACGUUAUCACAUGGCAUUCCGGUAAUACUCGGCCAAUUCCGGAAAAUACACCUAAAUGCUACGUUUUCAGUGAAAAACAUUACAAAGUAGUGUACAAAACAAUUAUUUGAAUACUGGAAAGUAUAUUGUUUAAAAUAAUAAAAAAAAAAAAAUAAAAAAAUAAAAAAAUAUUUAAUAAAUGCAUUUUUAAAGUUUUUCUUAAACAUAAUUUAGAAAGUUUCCUUAAAAGGUUGACUUUUCCAAACAAUGAUCAUUAGGUAUAUUGUUGAAUUAUUUUUUGCCGAUUCGUCCAUAUUAAAAAUGUUUGUUUUCUCUCUCUCUGUUGAGUCAUAUGAUAGAAAGAUUUCAUAUUGCAUGUAUCAAAUUUUGGGCCCGACGGCCGUGAACUUUUUUACUCUUUAAACUUCGGGAACCACAUAAAAGGAUCAAUAUGUGAAUCUGUUAUUUUUCUCUACCGUUGAAGCAUAUGAUAAAAAGAUCAUAACAUGUCAUUUUUCAUAUCGCAUGUAUUAUCAGCCCUCGGUCAAUAUCAGC